AGAGUUUGAUCAUGGCUCAGAAUGAACGCUGGCGGCGUGCCUAACACAUGCAAGUCGGAUGUGCCGCAAGGUGCAUGGCAGACGGGUGAGUAACGCGUGGGGAACCUACCUCUUUGUGGGGAAUAACGUUCCGAAAGGAAUGGUAAUACCGCAUGAGACCGUUGGCUGGGAUGCUGACGGUGAAACCCGGGGACCGCAAGGCCUGGGGCAAGGAGAGGGUCCUGCGUCUGAUUAGCUAGUUGGCGGGGUAACGGCCCACCAAGGCGUCGAUCAGUAGCCGGCCUGAGAGGGUGAUCGGCCACACUGGAACUGAGACACGGUCCAGACUCCUACGGGAGGCAGCAGUGGGGAAUUUUGCGCAAUGGGCGAAAGCCUGACGCAGCAACGCCGCGUGGGUGAUGAAGGUCUUCGGAUCGUAAAACCCUGUCGUCAGGGACGAAGGUUGUAUGUCUAAUAGAUGUGCAACUUGACGGUACCUGGAGAGGAAGCCCCGGCUAACUCUGUGCCAGCAGCCGCGGUAAUACAGAGGGGGCAAGCGUUAUUCGGAAUUAUUGGGCGUAAAGGGCGCGUAGGCGGUGUCUUAAGUGAGAUGUGUAAUCCCCGAGCUUAACUUGGGAACUGCAUCUCAGACUGGGGCGCUAGAGUGCUGGAGAGGGUGGUAGAAUUCCACGUGUAGCGGUGAAAUGCGUAGAGAUGUGGAGGAAUACCAGUGGCGAAGGCGGCCACCUGGACAGUAACUGACGCUGAGGCGCGAAAGUGUGGGGAGCAAACAGGAUUAGAUACCCUGGUAGUCC
rnacentral:rRNA from 1 species